rnacentral:rRNA from 1 species
GAUGAACGCUGGCGGCGUGCCUAAUACAUGCAAGUCGAGCGAAUGGAUUAAGAGCUUGCUCUUAUGAAGUUAGCGGCGGACGGGUGAGUAACACGUGGGUAACCUGCCCAUAAGACUGGGAUAACUCCGGGAAACCGGGGCUAAUACCGGAUAACAUUUUGAACCGCAGGGUUCGCAAUUGAAUGGCGGCUUCGACUGUCACUUAUCGAUGGACCCGCUUCGCAUUAGCUAGUUGGUGAGGUAACGGCUCACCAAGGCAACGAUGCGUAGCCGACCUGAGAGGGUGAUCGGCCACACUGGGACUGAGACACGGCCCAGACUCCUACGGGAGGCAGCAGUAGGGAAUCUUCCGCAAUGGACGAAAGUCUGACGGAGCAACGCCGCGUGAGUGAUGAAGGCUUUCGGGUCGUAAAACUCUGUUGUUAGGGAAGAACAAGUGCUAGUUGAAUAAGCUAGCACCUUGACGGUACCUAACCAGAAAGCCACGGCUAACUACGUGCCAGCCGCCGCAGUAA